rnacentral:rRNA from 1 species
GGUGGGGAGGCGAGAGAGAGUGUGUCGUUUGGGGAGAGAGAGAGCGUGUCGAUUGGGAUCGCUAGGUGGAGAGGGGAGGGGAGCGCGUCGGCGGUGGUGCGCAAGAAGGACAGGGCUAAGGGUGGGUGUAGCGGCGGCGACGGCGGCCGGAUGCGGGAGGGGGGUGUGGCGGCGGCACUUUGGGGGAGGAGUGGAAGAGAGGGGCCAGCUCGUCGUCGUCCAGUCCGCCUCCGCCGUCGGUCUAGGUGGUGUAACGAAGGCCUAGGCGCGGGAGGGGUGGGGGCUAAGUAGAGGUUAGGGCGGCGGCUGUGGGUUGGGGUGGGGGUGGCCGCUGGAGGGGAUUGGGGUAGUGGUAACCGCUGGAGGGAGGGAACGAGGAGCUGGGUUGGGUUGGGGAUAAGCUAAGUCAAGUCUCUGCUUAGGGGAGGGUGUAGUGGCGGCGGCGGUGUGUGACGGCUAGGGGAGUGUAGGCCGGCCACCGGUACCGGAGGCCAUAGAGGAGCUGUCGGCGGUGAGGGCAUGGGAGAGGUCAGGGGAGGGGAGGGGACGGGAGUGGUCUUCUCCUUCUCUUCUCCCAGUCCGUCUAGUCCGCCGGCGGUACCGCGCUGGUCUAGGCGGUGCCAACGGGGCGCGCAACAGGUGCCCGAGCUGAGGUCCCUGACCCAGUACCAGACACUCCGGGAGUUGCUGCGCGCGGCGGAGCGAUAGGUGGUGGGGCGGGAGGAGCAGGGGUAGUACCUCUUCCGCCACGACUAACCGUCCCACUUCCGCCAACGACUAACCGUCCCACUUCUUGGGCGCGUCGCGGCACGAGUUCUGGAGGUACUACCGCACGUGCCUAUAGAAGUGCCGGAAGCCGUUGGAGAGGAACUCGUCGUCGACAUCGUCGUCGAACAGGUUCGGCUACGUCAACCUCAAGUAUAUAUAAAGAGGUUUUUAAUAUGAGAGUGACACAUCUUAGAAAACCCGGUCUUAGUAACCAACUCAAAUCCAGUUUUCGUAGACAUACGGUUAUCAAAACUACAAAAAAACACGAUAUAUGAAGUCCCUUAUCAAUUGAGUAAUUAAUUCUACGGCUCCAUGAUAGUUGAUCUAGACAAGUGUGUGUAUGAAAUCAUUGGUCGAGGUAAAUAGUAGACUAGUCGAUACAUUUGAUUAGUGACUUGGACCUUUAAUACACGAAACUAUCUUGUGCCUUUGAUUAGUUUACGUCUUCUCAACAAAGUCAAACUCAAGACAAACUUUACAACGUUGAAGUCUUAAGACCCUUGAAAGGUAUUUCAAACGUAGUCAAAUCACCCAAGUGGAUAUAAUACAACAACCUUCGAUCAAGUACUACUUGACUAAAUUGAGAGAUGACCUUAUAAUAACAAAAUAAAUACCCUCCUUAUAUCACAUAAUCAACUACAUUUAAACAAACCCAAGUCUGGAUACGAAGGAGGUAACAAAACAUCUCAACCGAUUAAAAUCUACGACGUAUUAUUGGAAAUUCCGGCACCGGUUAAAAUCUACAACGUAUUAUUAGAAACAUAACGUUUUAUUUUUAACAUGGCUUCUACUUACCAGCUAAUCAAAAUCGAAGUUCGGUAAAAUCAUAUAAGAAACAUGUACACCGGACACCGAUAUUGAUCAAACGACAUCAAGUAGGCACUACAGGUCAUCGAUACUCUAGACUCCCUACGGCUGGUAAGCUCGGUGAAUUGAAUAAGUCGAAAGUGAGAUGUUAGAACGAUUAAAUUUCAGUGGUCCCCCGAAAGGGGGUGACAGGUAGCAAGGAUUUUUUUGAAUAAGUCGAAACCGCUAGGAGUAAACGAUACGAUCCAUAUUACAUUUGAGAGAAGACUACAACUAAACAUGGUCAAACUGAAAGGAUUCAAAGAAAAGAACAAUCGUCUCGAAUGUGAUAGAAAGAUAUCCGCGGCGGCCUAAGCUCCCACCCCGGGCUCGGAGGUGACCUCGUACCUAGUCGGCACGUCCUCCACCUCGAGGCGUACCUAGUGCUGAACCAGCAACACCCCCGGACCUGGUAGUUCGAGCGCCCGCUCUACCUGCCGGAGCCGUUGCCUCCGCGCGCACUCUAGGACCCCAACUGGUUAGGUGCCCCACGGUCUAGAAGGGAGCCCCAGCGGACUACAUCGGUAUGACAGCGGCCUAGUGGAGGGGGAGAGAGACACACACAAAAAGACAGUUAUCGAUCAUCGUAUUCAACCUCGACCAACAUGGUCCUUGAAUUAGACGUAAAUAAGUUGAUCUAGUUCAUGUUCAUGUAAUCAAGCAUUAGACGAUAAUUAUGUAGAGGAUAAGUAUUUAAAGGACUUCAUCACGUACAUAUAUAAAUCCACGACCAAUUAAUCUUUUACCUACACUAAAGAUUGAACUAACGACAUCCGAUGUUCUAUAUAGAGACAACCAAGUAGAACGACAUCUUAUACGGGGACAAGUAAGUAAAUACACAUAACGAUAAAUGGAGACCACUGUACACUCUUCGUGAGUAGAUAUACAAAUAUAAAACUCGUCGACCCAUGUUGAUGUCAACGUCUUAGUAGGUUGGUUUAAAACCCUCCUACCGUAUUUUCUAAUCUAUUGGGUACGAAAACUUUAGUACCAUAAGAUAAAUACGAGGUAGGGCUUUAGAUAACACGUGACGGUUCAGGUACUCCGCUUCGCGAGUGACGAGCUGGUAAAGAAAUGACUUAACCCUCGUUGUCUCUUCGAGUUCACACUUCAACACUUCACACUUCGUUCACACUUCGGCACUUCAGGUUGAGUAACAUCGUAUAGACACAACAUUUCUAACAUUAGCUAAAUAAAUCACCAUAUAAACUACUUAAAAUACACAAGAAACAAGAUAAACUUGAUAACUAAUACAUACACUAAACUUUUGAACACUUUACCUUUGGACAGGUCACCCCGG